rnacentral:piRNA from 1 species
UGAUAAACCCUACUCCUAGAAGGC